GGGGACAACCCGCCGAAAGGCGGGCUAAACCCGCGUACAUGCCACCGGGGCAUCCCGGAGGCAGGAAAGGCUUCGGCCGGACAGGGAUGGGCAUGCGGCGCAUUAGGCAGUAGGCGGGGUAACGGCCCACCUAACCGACGAUGCGUAGGGGUUCUGAGAGGAAGGUCCCCCACACUGGUACUGAGACACGGACCAGACUCCUACGGGAGGCAGCAGUGAGGAAUAUUGGUCAAUGGUCGGGAGACUGAACCAGCCAAGCUGCGUGAGGGAUGAAGGUACAGAGUAUCGUAAACCUCUUUUGUCAGGGAACAAAGGCGGGGACGUGUCCCCGGAUGAGUGUACCUGAAGAAAAAGCAUCGGCUAACUCCGUGCCAGCAGCCGCGGUAAUACGGAGGAUGCGAGCGUUAUCCGGAUUUAUUGGGUUUAAAGGGUGCGCAGGCGGUCUGUUAAGUCAGCGGUCAAAGCCCGGGGCUCAACCCCGGCCCGCCGUUGAAACUGGCAGUCUCGAGUUGGAGAGAAGUAUGCGGAAUGCGCGGUGUAGCGGUGAAAUGCAUAGAUAUCGCGCAGAACUCCGAUUGCGAAGGCAGCAUGCCGGCUCCACACUGACGCUGAGGCACGAAAGCGUGGGUAUCGAACAGGAUUAGAUACCCUGGUAGUCCACGCAGUAAACG
rnacentral:rRNA from 1 species